rnacentral:rRNA from 1 species
UACGUAGGGCGCAAGCGUUGUCCGGAAUCAUUGGGCGUAAAGAGCUCGUAGGUGGUCUGUUACGUCUGCUGUGAAAACCUAGGGCUUAACCCUGGGCCUGCAGUGGAUACGGGCAGACUAGAGGUAGGUAGGGGAGAAUGGAAUUCCCGGUGUAGCGGUGAAAUGCGCAGAUAUCGGGAGGAACACCGGUGGCGAAGGCGGUUCUCUGGGCAGUAACUGACGCUGAGGAGCGAAAGCCAGGGGAGCAAACGGGG